GAUGAACGCUGGCGGCGUGCCUAAUACAUGCAAGUCGAGCGAAUGGAUUAAGAGCUUGCUCUUAUGAAGUUAGCGGCGGACGGGUGAGUAACACGUGGGUAACCUGCCCAUAAGACUGGGAUAACUCCGGGAAACCGGGGCUAAUACCGGAUAACAUUUUGAACCGCAUGGUUCGAAAUUGAAAGGCGGCUUCGGCUGUCACUUAUGGAUGGACCCGCGUCGCAUUAGCUAGUUGGUGAGGUAACGGCUCACCAAGGCAACGAUGCGUAGCCGACCUGGGAGUGUGAUCGGCCAGACAGGGACUGAGACACGGCCCAGACUCCUACGGGAGGCAGCAGUAGGGAAUCUUCCGCAAUGGACGAAAGUCUGACGGAGCAACGCCGCGUGAGUGAUGAAGGCUUUCGUGUCGUAAAACUCUGUUGUUAGGGAAGAACAAGUGCUAGUUGAAUAAGCUGGCACCUUGACGGUACCUAACCAGAAAGCCACGGCUAACUACGUGCCAGCCGCCGCGGUAA
rnacentral:rRNA from 1 species